GUUUGAUCCUGGCUCAGGAUGAACGCCGGCGGUGUGCCUAAUACAUGCAAGUUCGAACGCGUUGGCCCAAUUGAUUGAUGGUGCUUGCACCUGAUUGAUUUUGGUCGCCAACGAGUGGCGGACGGGUGAGUAACACGUAGGUAACCUGCCCAGAAGCGGGGGACAACAUUUGGAAACAGAUGCUAAUACCGCAUAAACGUUGUUCGCAUGAACAACGCUUAAAAGAUGGCUUCUCGCUAUCACUUCUGGAGGACCUGCGGUGCAUUAGCUUGUUGGUGGGGUAAUGGCCUACCAAGGCGAUGAUGCAUAGCCGAGUUGAGAGACUGAUCGGCCACAAUGGGACUGAGACACGGCCCAUACUCCUACGGGAGGCAGCAGUAGGGAAUCUUCCACAAUGGGCGCAAGCCUGAUGGAGCAACACCGCGUGAGUGAAGAAGGGUUUCGGCUCGUAAAGCUCUGUUGUUAAAGAAGAACACGUAUGAGAGUAACUGUUCAUACGUUGACGGUAUUUAACCAGAAAGUCACGGCUAACUACGUGCCAGCMGCCGCGGUAAUACGUAGGUGGCAAGCGUUAUCCGGAUUUAUUGGGCGUAAAGAGAGUGCAGGCGGUUUUCUAAGUCUGAUGUGAAAGCCUUCGGCUUAACCGGAGAAGUGCAUCGGAAACUGGAUAACUUGAGUGCAGAAGAGGGUAGUGGAACUCCAUGUGUAGCGGUGGAAUGCGUAGAUAUAUGGAAGAACACCAGUGGCGAAGGCGGCUACCUGGUCUGCAACUGACGCUGAGACUCGAAAGCAUGGGUAGCGAACAGGAUUAGAUACCCUGGUAGUCCAUGCCGUAAACGAUGAGUGCUAGGUGUUGGAGGGUUUCCGCCCUUCAGUGCCGGAGCUAACGCAUUAAGCACUCCGCCUGGGGAGUACGACCGCAAGGUUGAAACUCAAAGGAAUUGACGGGGGCCCGCACAAGCGGUGGAGCAUGUGGUUUAAUUCGAAGCUACGCGAAGAACCUUACCAGGUCUUGACAUCUUGCGCCAACCCUAGAGAUAGGGCGUUUCCUUCGGGAACGCAAUGACAGGUGGUGCAUGGUCGUCGUCAGCUCGUGUCGUGAGAUGUUGGGUUAAGUCCCGCAACGAGCGCAACCCUUGUUACUAGUUGCCAGCAUUAAGUUGGGCACUCUAGUGAGACUGUCGGUGACAAACCGGAGGAAGGUGGGGACGACGUCAGAUCAUCAUGCCCCUUAUGACCUGGGCUACACACGUGCUACAAUGGACGGUACAACGAGUCGCAAACUCGCGAGGGCAAGCAAAUCUCUUAAAACCGUUCUCAGUUCGGACUGCAGGCUGCAACUCGCCUGCACGAAGUCGGAAUCGCUAGUAAUCGCGGAUCAGCAUGCCGCGGUGAAUACGUUCCCGGGCCUUGUACACACCGCCCGUCACACCAUGAGAGUUUGUAACACCCAAAGUCGGUGGGGUAACCUUUUAGGAGCCAGCCGCCUAAGGUGGGACAGAUGAUUAGGGUGAAGUCGUAACAAGGUAGCCG
rnacentral:rRNA from 2 species